UACGAAGGGGCUAGCGUUGCUCGGAAUCACUGGGCGUAAAGGGUGCGUAGGCGGGUCUUUAAGUCAGGGGUGAAAUCCUGGAGCUCAACUCCAGAACUGCCUUUGAUACUGAAGAUCUUGAGUUCGGGAGAGGUGAGUGGAACUGCGAGUGUAGAGGUGAAAUUCGUAGAUAUUCGCAAGAACACCAGUGGCGAAGGCGGACUCACUGGCCCGAUACUGACGCUGAGGCACGAAAGCGUGGGGAGC
rnacentral:rRNA from 1 species